GCCUAGGUGGAACUUGGAUUUUAUGUGCCCAACGCAGCUCAGUGGGCAGACUCCACUCAUCCUGGUCAUUCAGUCACCCAGAGCCUCAUCGCAUUCUGAGGAUCCAUGGGCACCACAGUGGGAGGAUGCAAACAUGAAAAAGAAAACAUUAACAGAAAACAUUAAAAAACCUCAGCUGGCUGAAAUCCCUGGAAGAAGAGGAGCCAUGUGCGAGCCAUUUGCUCAGUCCCCUCGGCUACAGUUGAAUAAGCCUAUAAGACAAUGGUCCUCAAGGUCUGGCUUUGAACAGAGAAUCUUUGCAGUGUGAACUGGCUUUAAGAAGAAACAGCAAGUGGCUCUUUGAUGAUGAAACCUUCAAAAACAGAAGCACCUUCCCUAAAGUCACAAAGCAGGAAGUCUGGGAACACUACUCAAACUCAAGGCUUCUAAUACCCAGCCCUCUUCUCUGGGACUGAGAUAAGGACUUUAAAGCUCUCACAGGUCCAGAAGCUUUCAUGGAUGUCAUACUGAUCUCUGGAAAACUGAACAGUUCAAAAUAAUUUUGCUUAGUUAAAAUGCAAUUGAUCCCAACAAUGAACCUAGCCAGAAAAACAUCACUGGGCAAGUCCUUGCAUUAGGAACGUUUGUGAUAAUAAAUGCAACAUUCAGGGAGCUGACCAGGAUGGGGUUGGACCACUGAGGGGAAGCUUUGCCCAGGGCUCUAAAUCCCCUUUGCAGCCUCCGGCCUGCCCCAGCCACAGUGAACAUUGACACACCCUAUUUGAUGACUCAAAAAUUCCACCCACAACACCCUGGAAAGUGUAAGUGAGGUGUUCCCUUUCCUUUUCAGCACAGAGAUGUGACCUGUGGCCAUCUCUCCCUUUGCACUGUGUGAGCCACCAGUGGUAUGCGAUCAGAGGUGGCUGUUGGGCCUGGGAAGAGCGCUCCUGCCCAGGAGGUGAUGCCUUCAGACCACCUUCGGCAAGUCCGGAUCAGCCCACAUGUCCAGCAGGCAGGCCUCUUCAAGACAAUUUGCUUCACCCCGAUUUAGACUGCGAUCCUGUGAGGGUAUCUCAAUUACUUUAUCUUCCCAGCAGUUUUGACCCACGUAAGUCACUGGACUAUAAGGGAGAGUCUGUCUAUCACCUUCUGCUGAGAAAUGUGUGAUGACACCCCACUGCUUUCAGGAUGAAGUCCUAAAUGGAAUGGGAACAAGAUAUUUCGAAUUUUCCAGCAGCAAGAAAAUCUGUCACUCAACAGUCAUAGAUGCUCUUCUUUUCUCCUUCAUGAUUCAUUUGUUUAAAUCAUGGUUAAUUUCCAGAUGAUGAAACGGGGGUGGGAGGUAAUCCAUAGAAUAAAGCAGCAAUGCCCUGGCAGA